rnacentral:lncRNA from 1 species
GACAAAUAUGCAACUGUUUGUUACCUAGUAAAUGCGGACAAAGAUGACUAAUCUAGCAGAUUCUCUGACCUUUCAUCUCCAUCUCCUUGGCUAGUGAUAGAACAUGCUUAAAAUGUCAAGGAAGAAGUAGUUUACAGAAUGUUUUAAAGGGAGAAUGCUACUGGGGUGGCUGGUGAUUAUAAGUUUGCAGAGGUGGUGAAUCCACUCCAGAUUUUAGCACCAAUCUAAUCAAGAAUUAUUAGGUUUUCUCUCUAUCAGUAAUUAGAAAGCAUAAGGGACUUGUGAAAAAGAGAUCAAAACUGUAUUUAAAAAUAGAAUAGUUAUUUUAUUAGCAAAAUUGCAGAUACAUUUUAGGUGUAGCUAGUGUUCUGAUCUUGUUGUCUAUUUAGUGCAUCCCAAGAUAAUUUUGCACCAAACAUCAGUCUAAUUAUUUAUUUUCAGUUUAUUGCUUUUGGAAACCUAGAAAAGAGAUACAGUUCCUGGUUUUGAUGAAAGAAGAUUGUGUUCUCAGCACUUCAAAAGAAAACAUAAAUGCCAUGGGAAGUAAAACAUCCUAUAAAUUUUAUUUUUCAACAUUUCUUCAUUUUCCAUCAUUUGUUCUUCCUUUGCAGGACAUGGGAAAGGCUGGGCCCUGAAGCUUUCCUUCAGGGACACUGCUAAUUGAUCACUGAAUGUGGAAAUACAGAUAUUAUCCUUGUGCUUUCAAGAACUGCAGCCUCUCUCUUUGGCCAGCUUCUUAUUGCCAGCUGAUUCAAUUACUGAAUGGAGCCCAAAUUACAGCUGCUGGAAGGCUGUUCUUCCUCUCUGCCAAUAAUAUUCCACACUGUGCUUUAUCUUCCUGGCUGACAGCCACUUUGUCCCACAAUGGAGAGGGAGGAAUCCCCUUGGAUGAGAAACACAGCAGAGUUACAGCCAGAAGGCCUGCCUGCUUAUACCAUAUGGAGAAGGCUAAGGUACUUAUGGGUACAUCCCAUAUCCAAACAGGAAGACCUUUCAUAGCUCUAAUUCUUCUUAUGCAUGGAAAGUUGCCUGUAUUGUAACAGAGUC